GAUGAACGCUAGCGAUAGGCUUAACACAUGCAAGUCGAGGGGCAGCACAAGGUAGCUUGCUAUCUGGGUGGCGACCGGCGCACGGGUGCGUAACGCGUAUGCAACUUGCCCUAUACAGGAGGAUAACCCGUCGAAAGACGGACUAAUACUGCGUAUGCUCACAACCUGGCAUCAAGUGGUGAGGAAAGAAAUUCGGUAUAGGAUAGGCAUGCGUCCCAUUAGCUUGUUGGUGAGGUAACGGCUCACCAAGGCAACGAUGGGUAGGGGAACUGAGAGGUUUAUCCCCCACACUGGUACUGAGACACGGACCAGACUCCUACGGGAGGCAGCAGUGAGGAAUAUUGGUCAAUGGGCGCGAGCCUGAACCAGCCAAGUCGCGUGAAGGAUGACUGUCUUAUGGAUUGUAAACUUCUUUUAUACGGGAAUAACAAGAGUCACGUGUGACUCCCUGCAUGUACCGUAUGAAUAAGCAUCGGCUAACUCCGUG
rnacentral:rRNA from 1 species